UGGUUUCUGGGUCUGCUCCGUGCAACUCCUUGGCUAAAGAGAGUCCCCUUUCUGUCCUUGAGCUCAGAGGUCAACAACUUCCACACACCCAAGGUAUCAAUUAAACUGGAAACCAUAACCUGUGAAGUUUAUGAAGAUGUAUGAAUAGGUUUUUUGCUGGUCCUGGAAGAAACACUACAGUCCCAGAUGCAGAAAGAAAAGAAACAUCAACAAAAGCCACACAGCAACUCAUAAACAGGGAUUUGCCACAGAGAGAACAAGCAAUCUCGUUUUGGAGAGUAUUUUGACUUUUAUUAUAUUAGAAAUGACUCUUUGCAAGGACUCAUCUCCAUGUGACUCCUGGCCCCUCAUCUAUCACAGUCUGCAGCAGCUUUGUGGCUGUCCUAGGAUGCUUCUACAGAAACUGCUUUGACUUAUCCCCAGUUUGCAUGGCUUUAAUUUAACCCAACACUG